rnacentral:rRNA from 1 species
GAUGAACGCUAGCGGGAGGCCUAACACAUGCAAGCCGAGCGGUAUUGUUUCUUCGGAAAUGAGAGAGCGGCGUACGGGUGCGGAACACGUGUGCAACCUGCCUUUAUCUGGGGGAUAGCCUUUCGAAAGGAAGAUUAAUACUCCAUAACAUAUUGAUUGGCAUCAAUUAAUAUUGAAAGCUCCGGCGGAUAGAGAUGGGCACGCGCAAGAUUAGCUAGUUGGUGAGGUAACGGCUCACCAAGGCGAUGAUCUUUAGGGGGCCUGAGAGGGUGAUCCCCCACACUGGUACUGAGACACGGACCAGACUCCUACGGGAGGCAGCAGUGAGGAAUAUUGGUCAAUGGGUGCAAGCCUGAACCAGCCAUCCCGCGUGAAGGACGACUGCCCUAUGGGUUGUAAACUUCUUUUGUAUAGGGAUAAACCUACCCUCGUGAGGGUAGCUGAAGGUACUAUACGAAUAAGCACCGGCUAACUCCGUGCCAGCAGCCGCGGUAAUACGGAGGGUGCAAGCGUUAUCCGGAUUUAUUGGGUUUAAAGGGUCCGUAGGCGGACUUAUAAGUCAGUGGUGAAAGCCUGUCGCUUAACGAUAGAACUGCCAUUGAUACUGUAAGUCUUGAGUAUAUUUGAGGUAGCUGGAAUAAGUAGUGUAGCGGUGAAAUGCAUAGAUAUUACUUAGAACACCAAUUGCGAAGGCAGGUUACCAAGAUAUAACUGACGCUGAGGGACGAAAGCGUGGGGAGCGAACAGGAUUAGAUACCCUGGUAGUCCACGCCGUAAACGAUGCUAACUCGUUUUUGGGCUUUAGGGUUCAGAGACCAAGCGAAAGUGAUAAGUUAGCCACCUGGGGAGUACGCUCGCAAGAGUGAAACUCAAAGGAAUUGACGGGAGCCCGCACAAGCGGUGGAUUAUGUGGUUUAAUUCGAUGAUACGCGAGGAACCUUACCAAGACUUAAAUGGGAAUUGACAGCUUUAGAAAUAGAGCUUUCUUCGGACAAUUUUCAAGGUGCUGCAUGGUUGUCGUCAGCUCGUGCCGUGAGGUGUUAGGUUAAGUCCUGCAACGAGCGCAACCCCUGUCACUAGUUGCCAUCAUUCAGUUGGGGACUCUAGUGAGACUGCCUACGCAAGUAGAGAGGAAGGUGGGGAUGACGUCAAAUCAUCACGGCCCUUACGUCUUGGGCCACACACGUAAUACAAUGGCCGGUACAGAGGGCAGCUACACAGCGAUGUGAUGCAAAUCUCGAAAGCCGGUCUCAGUUCGGAUUGGAGUCUGCAACUCGACUCUAUGAAGCUGGAAUCGCUAGUAAUCGCGCAUCAGCCAUGGCGCGGUGAAUACGUUCCCGGGCCU